UUGGCGCGGCCGGUGCUCUACCGCGCGCCCGGGUGUUUUCGGCUCUGAAGUCGGAGGAGUUUCGGCUAGGCCAUCAAGCUAGAUGUGAAACGUCUGUGUCCGGAAGGGGUUUUCCCCUUGUAACUUUAGCCCAGGCAGCGUAGAUAAGGCUUAUGAAGGAGAGCUAUGGAAGGUGAGGAACCAGGAAUUUAACUGGAAGCACGUGAGAAACAGGACUGCACCAUUUUGUACUCUUUCUACAGACUUCGUGUGCGCUGCGUCUUGAGAUCACAACAUGAGUAAGAUCUAGCCAGUCAAGUGACUCUGCAAUGAGGGGGAAACUGAGCUGUGAGGAGUGGUAAAGGGGACACAACGAGGUACCCAUUCGGGAAACUUCCCCGGCUCUAUUCCCGCUGUUCUUGAAGGACAGGAACUCUGGAGACUCUGGAACUCUGGAGAUUCUGGAAAACCUGACAGGCUGGAGAAGUAUAAGGAAACAGAAAUCUGAGCUGUGUCACAGAAAAGUGACUUCACUGGUGGAGUACACAUCCAGCAAGUGGCAGAGCUAGGACUGCAUCGGCCAGACUCAUUGAUGGAUGCAGAACUUAUGGGAGCAGUUUGUUUCUCUGAUCUUGCUUGGGAAUGGAAUCUAAAAUAUUUCUAGGUUUGAAGCAUUCUCAUUAGAGGAGGAAAGAAUGAUAUGGGUCAUCCUACAUGACAAGUGAGUAUUAGGUAACCAAUAUUCCAGUAUUUUGUGAAUAUGUUAUAAAAUGUGAAGUAAAUGAUUUCAGCCAUUGCCAUGCUCCAUUUACAUACUAUUUUUAUGUUACAGAGUUUCAAAAAGACACAUUAAGCUAACAUUGACAUAUAUAAUAUUU